GACGAACGCUGGCGGCGUGCUUAACACAUGCAAGUCGUACGGUAAGGCCCUUUCGGGGGUACACGAGUGGCGAACGGGUGAGUAACACGUGAGUAACCUGCCCACAACUUUGGGAUAACGCUAGGAAACUGGUGCUAAUACUGGAUAUGUGCUCCUGCUGCAUGGUGGGGGUUGGAAAGCUCCGGCGGUUGUGGAUGGACUCGCGGCCUAUCAGCUUGUUGGUGGGGUAGUGGCCUACCAAGGCGGCGACGGGUAGCCGGCCUGAGAGGGUGACCGGCCACCUUGGGACUGAGAUACGGCCCAGACUCCUACGGGUGGCCGCAGUGGGGAAUAUUGCACCAUGGGCGCCAGCCUGAUGCAGCAGCGCCGCGUGCGGGAUGACGGCCUUCGGGUUGUAAACCGCUUUCAGCAGGGACGAAGCUUUUUGUGACGGUACCUGCAGAAGAAGCACCGGCUAACUACGUG
rnacentral:rRNA from 1 species